rnacentral:rRNA from 1 species
AUUGAGCGCUGGCGGCGUGCUUAACACAUGCAAGUCGAUCGGUAACGCGGGGGCAACCCUGGCGACGAGAGGCGGACGGGUGAGGAACGCUUGGGAAUCUGCCUAUCAGCGGGGGACAACACGGGGAAACUCGUGCUAAUACCGCAUACGCUCUACGGAGGAAAGCCGGGGACCGCAAGGCCUGGCACUGAUAGAUGAGCCCAAGCCGGAUUAGCUAGUUGGCGGGGUAACGGCCCACCAAGGCGACGAUCCGUAGCUGGUCUGAGAGGACGAUCAGCCACACUGGGACUGAGACACGGCCCAGACUCCUACGGGAGGCAGCAGUGGGGAAUAUUGGACAAUGGGGGAAACCCUGAUCCAGCGACGCCGCGUGGGUGAAGAAGGCCUGCGGGUUGUAAAGCCCUUUCGGUAGGGACGAAAGCUCUCGACCUAACACGUUGGGAGGUUGACUUAACCUACAAAAGAAGCACCGGCUAACUCUGUGCCAGCCGCCGCAGUAAAAC